UACGUAGGGGGCAAGCGUUGUCCGGAUUUACUGGGCGUAAAGAGCGCGUAGGCGGAAGCUUAAGUGUGGCCUGAAAGCCCCCGGCUCAACCGGGGAAGGUGGCUGCAAACUGGGCUUCUUGAGGGGGAUAGGGGAAAGUGGAAUUCCGGGUGUAGCGGUGAAAUGCGUAGAGAUCCGGAGGAACACCAGUGGCGAAGGCGGCUUUCUGGGUCCGCCCUGACGCUGAGGCGCGAAAGCGUGGGGAGCAAACAGG
rnacentral:rRNA from 1 species